rnacentral:rRNA from 1 species
AAGGUUGACCUCGGAUCAGGUAGGAAUACCCGCUGAACUUAAGCAUAUCAAAAGGCGGAGGAA